CUGAAAAAAUUUAGUCACGUAGUUUUCUUAGACGGUGUAUUACAAAGAGCAAAAAGUUUUUUCUUUUGGAGAUACACCGAAAUAUUAAAGAAAUAUUCAGAGAGCGAGACAACAUUGGUUGUGAUGGCUGAACGUUUUUUCCUGCUACUAGUCACCCAUGAGGCACGGAGCAGCCGCGUGAGCACAUUUUGACCAGAGGUCAGGUCCUUUUAGCGGGAACCUAAACUUCCUGGAGCUGCAUUCGAAUAUCGUUGGAUGUUGAUGCUGGAACUGGCGUGAACAGGAAGUUGGGGGAGGCACUCAAUGGUAGGGCGUCACUGCACUUACUCAGUACUUCCUCUACAGCUCUCUGUGUAGAAAAAUUGAGUUUUCAGUUACCAUGGCAUUCACAAGGUCCAAGGAGGACGACACUAAUUCAGUAUACCCCAGCUUUAUCCAUGCAAAACACCAAGACAAGCUUAAGCUACAGAAUGGUAACAGAGAUGGGACAGGACAAGGAUUCACUAUUGUGAAUAGCACAUCUUUACCUCAACCACUUUGACCAACUCGACCAGGUCAAUUUGGCGUGACUCCACAGGCUGGGGGAUCUCAAGACUGCUCUGCUUUGCAUCCUCCAGUAAAGGCUCAACUGCGAGAAAGCAUGGAUUUGCCAGGUCAAGCGUCUGAGCCUGAGGAACUGAGAGAUGAUCUACUAGUGUGAUUUAUGCUGAUGGAAUUUACCUCUGGAUCGCUUCUUUUGUAGCAGGAAGGGUAAAUACCAGUGACCUCAGCAGACCAGCUAAUCAUCCACAUCCCACCAGUUUGCAAGUGGACCAACCUUUGUGAAGAACUUGUGGCCACGGAUAUUCUGCGAUGACGGGCGAUCCCGUGGGUCGAUUUGAAAUAUUUUGCCCAUCAGUUUCCCAGCUUCAAUACCGAGGUUCUGGGGUAGAAUAAAUUUAGCUUCUUUGAUGUUCUUUAUCAUUUCACAGCGAUCGUCGUGAUCGAAUGGGAUUUCCCCAACCAGAAGCUGGUACCUGUAGUAAGAAAGGCAGCAAAGGUGUUUGAGGUCUUUCACAUUUGACAUAAAAAUGCUGUGCUUCCAAAAGAGCAAUUCCUCUCAACUGUGUGCCAGUAUUCAUUUUUCUUUUCUAUUUCAAGUAGAAAAAAAAACAUAUUUAUGUAUGUUAGACACAUGUCUUCUUAAAAUGUUAGACAGAUUUUAUUAGCCAUGCUGAUCUUUGGCCGGGAGGAGGGUUGAUAGGGUAUACGUACAUGACACAGCCCAGUGCCCAGACUUCUGCUUCUGUUCCAUGGCCCUCCCGUUUCCACACUUCUGGAGCCAUGUAGACUGGAGUACCACACACUUUUCUACAACACACACAAAUGGAAAACGUUAAGCGCACAUGUGCUUUAGUUUGCUGUAUAAACAAAUUUGAAAGCUUAGCCAGGAAUUCUGCAAAAAACACCUACUUCUCCCUCGGCUCCAGCUUGACCGCCAGUCCAAAAUCUCCAAUUUUCAGUUCCAUUUUGUCAUUCACAAAUAAAUUUUCUGAAAGACAAACGAAUUUGCAUUAAGGAUAGACUCAAAUACUUUGCCAAACUGCAGACUUUACCAAAUUGAUAAAUUAACACUACACAGAAAUCCAGACGAGCUACACUCGCAAUGCCAUGUGAAAUGCCAGCAUUAUUAAACAGAGAAUUGAGUAAAG